GCGCAGGCGCGGUGCGCGGUCGUGGCGGUCCGCCGAGCCACCCGGGUUCCGGCAUGCCGGGCCGGCGUCUCGUGGCCGCCUUCCCGGUUACCUGCGCACCAUGGAAGGCCUGCGCUGCCUGCCCCGGCUGCUGCCCCGCGUCGUGCAGUCCCGGCGGGCCCUGUGUGCCGCGCGCCUGAGCCCGGCUGCCUGCUGCGGUCGCGCGAUCCCGCUGCGCUCCGGGAGCCCGCCCGGCGCUGCAGGUGGUGUGUACCGGUGUAGAACCUCCGAUGCCUCUCAAGCUACUUUAGCCAGCGUGGCCCAGGUGUUUGCUGUGACAAAGUUUGACAAAGAAGGAAACGUUACUUCUUUCGAGAGGAAGAAAACUGAAUUAUACCAUGAGUUAGCACUCCAGGCCAGAGACUUGAGGUUUCAGCACGUGAUGAGCAUCACUACCAGGAACAACAGGAUUAUCAUGAGGAUGGAGUAUUUGAAGGCUGUGAUAACUCCAGAGUGUCUUCUGAUACUAGACUAUCGGAAUUUAAACCUGGAGCAGUGGCUGUUCCGGGAACUGCCAUCACAGCUGGCUGGAGAUGGUCAGCUCGUCACUUACCCAUUGCCAUUUGAGUUCAGAGCUAUUGAAGCACUCCUGCAGUAUUGGAUCAACACCCUCCAGGGGCAACUUAGCAUCCUGCAGCCACUGAUCCUUGAGACCCUGGAUGCAUUAGUGGACCCCAAGCACUCUUCUGUUGACAGAAGCAAGCUGCAUGUCCUACUCCAGAAUGGCAAAAGUCUCUCUGAGUUAGAAACAGACAUUAAAAUUUUCAAAGAGUCGAUUUUGGAGCUUUUGGAUGACGAGGAGAUGCUGGAAGAACUCUGUCUAACCAAGUGGAGUGACCCCCAGGUCUUUGAAAAGAGCAGUGCUGGGAUUGACCAUGCAGAGGAGAUGGAGCUGCUGCUUGAAAACUACUACCGGUUAGCUGACGACCUUUCCAAUGAGGCUCGGGAGCUUCGGGUCCUGAUUGAUGACUCACAGAGCAUCAUCUUCAUCAAUCUAGACAGCCAUCGCAAUGUGAUGAUGAGGUUAAAUCUACAGCUAACCAUGGGAACCUUCUCUCUUUCCCUCUUUGGACUAAUGGGAGUUGCUUUUGGCAUGAAUUUGGAAUCUUCCCUUGAAGAGGACCAUCGUGUGUUCUGGCUGAUUACAGGAAUUAUGUUUAUGGGGAGUGGCCUCAUCUGGAGGAGGUUGCUUUCGUUCCUCGGCAGACAGCUGGAAGCUCCUUUGCCCCCUAUGAUGGCCUCCUUACCUAAAAAGACCCUUCUGGCAGGCAGAAGGAUGGAAGUGAAAAACAGCCUCAGGCCGGAAGGACUCGGAGCAAGCAGGACUGUCCUGGCAAGCCGCUAACAGCAGCUGGCAGACAAAGAUUUUUAUGCUUCUGAAGCUGUUACCGCUCUCUGGUUGAGAAAAAAGAUGACUGCUGUUUAAAUUAUGUCUGACUUAAAAUACUGUGGCAUUCACAAUACGAAAACACGAUUGCAUCUUCGGAAUUCUGGGAGGCAAAGUGCUUUCUUUGUAAAAGGCCAAAAUCCUGUGUCCUACCAACCUUGAAUACUGUUUUUAUGGGCUUUUUAAAGUAUAGAUUAAUUUAUUGCAAGAUAGACUUAUCUAGAUUCAGUACUGUUAUACAUAUCAGGAAAAGUACAGCUCUGUGCUGAUGGAGCCCAGGAACUUGACAGAGCCUACAGUCCCUGAGCUCACAGGCUGCAGUUGCUCAAAUAGGGAGUCACGUUCCUAUCAACUUCUGACUUGGGAAAGAAAGCUGGCAGAUCUGUUAGCCUUGCAAUGAACUCGGGAAUGUCAGUCCUUGACAACCUUAUUUUCAGACUGGAAGAAGUUCUGACCGACUCAGGCUGACAGGCUGUUUGUGUGACGGGGUCCAGGAGCUGCACUCAGCUUUAUUUCUUGGAAUGGCAUCACUGAAGCUACAUUUGAACUUCAGUGUGAUAACUUGAGUAAUGGCCACAAGAGGUGGUCUCAUGGAGGGAUGGAAUGGGGUCCAGAGACCUGAGCUCUCCACCAAAAGCCCACUUCCAAUCAUUCUAACUUUAUAGUCUGGGACAGUAAGGCAUAAAGCAAUUCCUAUCAUGAAGCCUUGAAAAUGUACAGAGAGAAAGCUGGAAAACCAGUAUGUAAAUGUCUGUUGGUGUCUUGGGGUAAAGAUCACCAAGCUAAACAGUUGCAUCAGUUAGUGUUGUUUUAGUUAUCUCCACUUGAAUUUCUAAGCAUUGUGGGGCUGUUUCUUAGAACCUCAGUUAAUGCUUGGUGGAAGGAAAUUUUAAUCCACCUGUUGAGGAUAAUAUUCAGACUGUCAUGUGCUAAUGUUUUCUCUAUAUCAGGUCAAUAUUCUUCAUAGGUUGAUCUUCAAAAGUGGAUAGCACUGACCUGUUUCUCACAGAAGAGUCGAUGUGUUACAGUGUUAACAGUGUUAGACUUGUCAGUAGGACAAUCCUUCAACUUGAAGAUGUUCCCAUCUCUAUAAGCUCUAUAAGCUCUCUUUACCCGGAGCCUGCUUUCUGCUAUGUUCAGACAUUGAGCCAAAGACAAAUUCUGUGGCUCUCAUCAGUUAGAGCAAAAGCACUGGCACUUGGGGCUAGAGCAUCAGCUCAGGGUUGGGGAAGCCCAUGCCUGGUGUGCACAAGGCCCUGGGUUUAGCCCUGCUGUUUACGUUUGCUGAUUGGCCAUCACAGUGGCAAAACCAUAACCCUUCUGCUGGUAGUGGUCUUCAGAUAGGUUGAACUGCCAGUGACUAGCCAAGCAAAACCAAAUGUCCCUGUGUUCUCUCCCUGCUGUGUCUUGGGCUGUGUGGUGCACACUCAAAACAGCCAGCCUGGAGCAUGCGCGGUGCCUUCUGGGGUGGGUGUGAACUGUCCCUCUUUCUCCCCUGUGGGUCGUCUCAGUGGAGUCCUUUCUCGGUUGGUCCCUUCCUCAUCCUCUGCAGAAGGUUUUCUCUCUGGCUGGUACUGUCACCCAUUUCCUUCUGCUCUUGAUAUCAUUUCCCAGGGUCAGAAGGAACAGUAUCUCCCUUGGCUGACACAGAACCAGCCAGUCACUGUUAGCAGGUCUAAGUGCUGGUGAAUUUCUCCUGAAGCCACACUGGGGAUGGAGCACAGAAUCCACCCUAAAGAAUGGGCCAAGAACAAGCGAAGCCACAGCCCACCUGCCACUGGGUUCCUCACUGGUCCCUUACAGUCACCCUGGGCUCAGGCCACACUCCUGCUCUGUUGAUGGCGCCGUCAGCCUAGCACAGCAAAGCCUCCACCCCUCCUGUGAGACUUAACCACACUGGUGAGACAGCCAGCCCCAGAGACCUGUGUGAGGCACGCACGAGAUGGCUCGUUUCUGUGGUGGUCCUUCCAAAUGGUCGCUGAGGAAGGGCCAGGGUGUGGGCCCCGUGCCCCAUGCCGUCCUCUGUUCUCCCAACGGUGUUUUCACUGGGUACUGUGCCGGCAGUAUGACAAAAUGCCCACGAGAAACAGCUUCAAAGAGGAAAUGUUUAUUCUGGCUCACGGUUUCAGCCAUGUUAGCUCCAGGGUGCUUUACCCUGUUGCUUUGGGGCUGGGGAAGAAGCAGUGCAUCAUGGCAGAGGAGAGCUGUUCAUUUCAUGGCAAUGGGAAACAAACAAGGAAGGAAGGACUUGGGGUCCUGAUACACCCCAAUGGCAUAACUUCCUCCAGCAAGGUCCCACUCCAAAAUUUCCACCCUCCUUCAGUUGGGGGCCAAGCCUUCAACAUGGGAAUUUUGAGGCACAUUUAAGAUCCAAAUAGGACCAGCCAUCACUAACAAGGAUUUUUAAAGGAUCAAUUAUAUAGAGACUGUGUUGAGAGCUAACUGCACCCUUUCUAGGCAAGAGAGAGAUGGGUAUUUAAACAGAAGAGGAGGAAGGGUGAAUUGUUACAGUCCCAAGCACAGGCAGGAAGCUCAGAGAAGAUGCAAAAGCGUUUUUUAGAAGAUGCAAAGUGCCUGCCGCUCCCCAUCAUCCGGUGUCCACACAUAGCUGACCAUAUUUCCAGGUAACUUGGCUGUCAGUAUGUCUGUCCCAGGAGCCCCACCUCUGUCAGGUUUCGCCACAGCUCCUCUGGAGGAAUACUUUGUCCACCCUGGAGUUGACUUGGGCCAAGAGAGGAGGGGCGUAAUAGGAAAGUGGAGUGACCUCUUCAGUCUGAGCCGAGGCUGUAGACGUGAAGUGCCCCGGAGAGCCGGGCUCCCCAAGAACUUCUUCCAGCAGCGACAACUACUUGGUUCUGUAGAAGAUACAACAUAGACAGCAUUCAUGACAAAUUCCCACCCUGAAGCAGACAUGCCGUGCUCUGGAGAUUCCUAGGAAAGCAAUGCUGGCCAGACUCCAACUAUAGCUCCAACUUAGGCCUUUCCCUUUGCUCAUACACCACUUUCUUGAUUUGUAAGUUCUGAAAACCACAGUUGUGGAAGUUGACUCCAGCCUCUGCCUCUUGUAAUUAAAAACAAACAAACAACGGGAAAUACAUGAGUGCGUGCUUAUUCCAGAACCUCAUGUGGUACAAUGUAGACCAUGCAUCUGGAGUGGUAAGGACAAGGGGUUACAAUCACACAGCAUCCCUGCUGCCUAAUGUUUUCAGGCCUGUCUUCCAGAAUUUUUUUCAAAAUCUGCUGCAGGUUGUGAAACAUUUUAGUAAAGGCAAAAUCUUCACAGUUUGCAGUUAAAUUUGAUUUGGGAGAGUUGCCAAAAGUUACUUUAAAUCAUUACCGGUAAGUGAAGUGUGGCUGGUCAUGCUGGCGGCUAGCAUUUUAGAGGAAGCAGGAUAUGGCAUUGAUCUUGUUGGUUUCAUUUUAACACAACAAUCCCAAAAUGCUGAUAAUGGCAGCACUGUACUGAGCCCUUACUAUGUGUCAGAUUCUAGAUGGAGCUCUUCCUGUCACAUCCUAAUACCCCAGUGUUGGCAAAAGAGAAAAUCUUUUCAGUAACAAAUGGUAAUUCUUCUCCCUUAUUUAUGUAAUUACUAGUUUAUUAAAUGUGCUUUUACUUUGGCUAUAUUCUAAGUCUCCAUUUCCUGGGCAAAGCAUGCGCCUCCCUAAAGUUAACCCUUCCUGGCUGCCCACCGUCUCCCUAGUCUAACCAUCUCACAUGCCCCCUCAAGGCCCAUAGGUUCUGCAAGGCCUCCUAGACCUGGCCAGCAUGGACAGCCACUGUCUUUAGCCCUGGAUCAUUGUACAUUGAUGUCAAAGGUCUUGGCUGCUUUUUGUCCUUCCACCUACACUGUGAGCGGGAGACGAGGCCAUGUCUCACUGUUCCAUCUACGUCUCGGCUGCCCAGGGAAGCACCCCAGUUAAAGGUUCUGCUGAGGCUCACCACAUGACAUGGGCAGUCUUAAGAAAGCACAGAGACAGUGGCAGUGUUGUUCCUUAGGUAUGUCUCCAGACUGCCAAUCCCACAAGGCUCAUGUGUCCUAGGAAGGAAACCUGACUUGAGAGUCCUAAUUCAGGUCUCGGGGAAAGGCCACUCUGAUGUUUUAUGCUCACUGAGCCUUAAUGCCCUGUCUCAGGGUGAGUCAGGAAAGGGAGGGAUGUUAGUACUGACACAGGUGGACUGCAGUUAGGCUAACAUGUAGAGAUGCACAGACCAGAAUUAACUGUGAAGUACUUUCAUCUGGCCUUUAUCACCACUGCCCUUGGUCGGUGUUCUUGAUAAUGUCUUAAUUUUUUGAAGAUGCAUAAAAUUGUAAAUAAAAGCCCCGUGUAUCCUCUGGAGAAUCCUCCCGUAAGUUUAGUAAUUGCUGUUUCUAGUAGCUAACCCUAUUCAUCAGCCUUGCUGUGUCAGCGAGAACACUUGACCAGCAGAGGGCAGUUUCACCAUGAGUCUCAAGCAGGCCCUGCAUCCCAGCACCUCCCAAGCCUUCCCAGACUGCUGUCUUCCAACACUUAGGACUCCUGCUCAUUCUGCCUGUAGUCCUAUGCCAGUCUCACGGACCUGCCUUCCCUGUGUGUCUUCAAGAACAGUGACUGUCUCGUCUCUGUAUUUUAUAACCUAGCACAAUGCUGUGACACCAAAUCCUGAAGUGAAUGAACCGUUUAGUGGUUUAGUUUGGUUUCUUUGUUUUGAGGCAGGGUCUCAUUCUAACCCAGGCUAGCCUGGCCUCAAACUCCUACCUCAGCUUCUCAUGUGCUGGGAUUACCGGCAUGAGCUACCUACCACACCUGGCUCUGUAGAGUUAUAUAUUAAGGUAUAUUUCUUAAUUCUAUAUUUAUUAAAAUGUAAUGUUAAAUGUAUGUAUCCUCUAGCAGUCCCACUGCUGUGUUUCUCACAAGGAUAUUUGCACAAUUAUGUAAAAAAAUAGUUAUAAGAAUGCUCUAAACAGCAUUGUCUGUAAUAGUUUUAAAAAAUGGAGAUAAUGUAUGUAUGGGAAUGUAAUUGAACUGAAUUAUGGAAUGUCCAGAGAAUAAAAUAUUGUGUGACUCCUGGGAA